GACGAACGCUGGCGGCGUGCUUAACACAUGCAAGUCGAACGGAAAGGCCCUGCUUGCAGGGUACUCGAGUGGCGAACGGGUGAGUAACACGUGGGUGAUCUGCCCUGCACUUCGGGAUAAGCCUGGGAAACUGGGUCUAAUACCGGAUAGGAGCCAUUUUUAGUGUGAUGGUUGGAAAGUUUUUUCGGUGUAGGAUGAGCUCGCGGCCUAUCAGCUUGUUGGUGGGGUAAUGGCCUACCAAGGCGGCGACGGGUAGCCGGCCUGAGAGGGUGGACGGCCAGUACUGGCGCUGACGGCCGGCCGCGCCGCCGACGGGUGGAAGAAGGGGGAAAUCCUGAUCAAGGGGCGCCGCCUGGGUGCAGCAGGCCCGCGGGGGGUAUGGCGCUUUUGGUGUGAAAAACUCGUAGCACGGGGGACCACCGUUUUUGUGACGGUACCUAAAGAAUAAGCACCGGCUAACUUCGUG
rnacentral:rRNA from 1 species